rnacentral:rRNA from 1 species
GAUGAACGCUGGCGGCGUGCCUAAUACAUGCAAGUCGAGCGAACAGACGAGGAGCUUGCUCCUCUGACGUUAGCGGCGGACGGGUGAGUAACACGUGGAUAACCUACCUAUAAGAAUGGGAUAACUUCGGGAAACCGGAGCUAAUACCGGAUAAUAUAUUGAACCGCAUGGUUCAAUAGUGAAAGACGGUUUUGCUGUCACUUAUAGAUGGAUCCGCGCCGCAUUAGCUAGUUGGUAAGGUAACGGCUUACCAAGGCAACGAUGCGUAGCCGACCUGAGAGGGUGAUCGGCCACACGGGAACUGAGACACGGUCCAGACUCCUACGGGAGGCAGCAGUAGGGAAUCUUCCGCAAUGGGCGAAAGCCUGACGGAGCAACGCCGCGUGAGUGAUGACGGUCUUCGGAUCGUAAAACUCUGUUAUUAGGGAAGAACAAAUGUGUAAGUAACUAUGCACGUCUUGACGGUACCUAAUCAGAAAGCCACGGCUAACUACGUG